CAGGAAAGGCUUCGGCCGAUCAGGGAUGGGCAUGCGGCGCAUUAGGCAGUAGGCGGGGUAACGGCUCACCUAACCGACGAUGCGUAGGGGUUCUGAGAGGAAGGUCCCCCACACUGGUACUGAGACACGGACCAGACUCCUACGGGAGGCAGCAGUGAGGAAUAUUGGUCAAUGGUCGGGAGACUGAACCAGCCAAGCCGCGUGAGGGAGGAAGGUACAGAGUAUCGUAAACCUCUUUUGUCAGGGAACAAAGACUGGGACGCGUCCCCGGAUGAGUGUACCUGAAGAAAAAGCAUCGGCUAACUCCGUGCCAGCAGCCGCGGUAAUACGGAGGAUGCGAGCGUUAUCCGGAUUUAUUGGGUUUAAAGGGUGCGCAGGCGGUCUGUUAAGUCAGCGGUCAAAGCCCGGGGCUCAACCCCGGCCCGCCGUUGAAACUGGCAGUCUCGAGUUGGAGAGAAGUAUGCGGAAUGCGCGGUGUAGCGGUGAAAUGCAUAGAUAUCGCGCAGAACUCCGAUUGCGAAGGCAGCAUGCCGGCUCCACACUGACGCUGAGGCACGAAAGCGUGGGUAUCGAACAGGAUUAGAUACCCUGGUAGUCCACGCAGUAAACGAUGAAUACUGGCUGUCCGGG
rnacentral:rRNA from 1 species